UACGGAGGGGGCUAGCGUUGUUCGGAAUUACUGGGCGUAAAGCGCACGUAGGCGGCUUUGUAAGUUAGAGGUGAAAGCCCGGAGCUCAACUCCGGAAUUGCCUUUAAGACUGCAUCGCUAGAAUUGUGGAGAGGUGAGUGGAAUUCCGAGUGUAGAGGUGAAAUUCGUAGAUAUUCGGAAGAACACCAGUGGCGAAGGCGACUCACUGGACACAUAUUGACGCUGAGGUGCGAAAGUGUGGGGAGCAAACAGG
rnacentral:rRNA from 1 species